AGUGAACGCUGGCGGUAGGCCUAACACAUGCAAGUCGAACGGCAGCACAGUAAGAGCUUGCUCUUACGGGUGGCGAGUGGCGGACGGGUGAGGAAUACAUCGGAAUCUACUUUUUCGUGGGGGAUAACGUAGGGAAACUUACGCUAAUACCGCAUACGACCUACGGGUGAAAGCAGGGGAUCUUUGGACCUUGCGCGAUUGAAUGAGCCGAUGUCGGAUUAGCUAGUUGGCGGGGUAAAGGCCCACCAAGGCGACGAUCCGUAGCUGGUCUGAGAGGAUGAUCAGCCACACUGGAACUGAGACACGGUCCAGACUCCUACGGGAGGCAGCAGUGGGGAAUAUUCGACAAUGGGCGCAAGCCUGCUCCAGCCAUACCGCGUGGGUGAAGAAGGCCUUCGGGUUGUAAAGCCCUUUUGUUGGGAAAGAAAAGCAGCAGGUUAAUACCCCGCUGUUCUGACGGUACCCAAAGAAUAAGCACCGGCUAACUUCGUG
rnacentral:rRNA from 1 species